rnacentral:rRNA from 1 species
CCUACGUGAGGCAGCAGUGAGGAAUAUUGGUCAAUGGACGAGAGUCUGAACCAGCCAAGUAGCGUGAAGGAUGACUGCCCUAUGGGUUGUAAACUUCUUUUAUAAAGGAAUAAAACGAGUCACGUGUGCCUUUUUGCAUGUACUUUAUGAAUAAGGAUCGGCUCACUCCGUGCCAGCAGCCGCGGUAAUACGGAGGAUCCGAGCGUUAUCCGGAUUUAUUGGGUUUAAAGGGAGCGUAGAUGGGUUGUUAAGUCAGUUGUGAAAGUGUGCGGCUCAACAGUAAAAUUGCAAUUGAUACUGGCAGUCUGGAGUACAGUUGAGGUAGGCGGAAUUCGUGGUGUAGCGGUGAAAUGCUUAGAUAUCACGAAGAACCCCGAUUGCGAAGGCAGCUUACUAAACUGUGACUGACAUUGAGGCUCGAAAGUGUGGGUAUCAAACAGGAGUAGAUACCCGGGUAGUC